GGGCGAUUAGCUCAGCUGGGAGAGCGCCGCCUCGACAUGGCGGAGGUCACUGGUUCGAGCCCAGUAUCGCCCA
rnacentral:tRNA from 1 species